CUAGCAGUCAGGAGAACAUCAUCUGACUGAAGCUGCUGCUCCUGACAUUUUGGAGGAUGCAGCAUUGGAAAGAAGCUCAUAGGCAUAUUGUGGAAACAACAUCCCAUCCUGUGGAAAGACUUAUAGAAGAAUAGCUGACUGGGGUCUGCAAGGCCUACUGGGAAAAGCACAAGCCAGAAUAAUAGGAUGUUGUCCUGUGGAAAACAUCCUAUCAGGUCAUGGCAUUACCUGCUAUCUGCAAAAAAGAAAAUAAACUUAAAAGUUUCACCAGCUACAAGAAGUUUGGAAAUUCAUAAGUUUAGACAUUGACUGUGAAACUAAAAUGAAUAAUUACAUGCAAAAAAAUUAGUAGAGCUAAGCCUGGAGAAUUGAGAAAUGUGUA